GGCGGGGCAGUGCACGGCUCAGGGGCUGCGGGGCAAGAGCUGGGGGUUGCGGUGCAGCAGCUUUGGGUGCAGAGUGAGGCGCAUCGGCCUGCCUGGGCGGGCAGGGGCCCCGCAGACCGGACGCUGUGGUGCGGCACCGUGUGUGAGCGUAGGGGAGCGAGAGCCCAGGCCCUGGUGCGGGGAGGCCUGUCCUGGUGGCUGUGCUGGAGCCCGUGGCAGCCGUGGCCCUUCCCUUGGCAGCCCUGCUGCAGCCUGAGAUGUACAAGACACUUAAUCUUCAUAUUGUUCUGCUUGGAACUGAGACGUGGACAGAAAUGGACAUUUACUCAUUGGCUGGACCAUGCUUUUCACUUUUUUACUCCAUGGACUAGAUAGUUCCUUAAACCCUGCAUACACUUUGACCGUGCACAAUUACUCCUGUAAGGUACUCUUUCAUUUUCAUAUGACUGUAGAUCAGGCUUGUCCAACACGCGGCCUGCCAAGCCAUUUUAUCUGGCCUGUGGCAGCAGCACCGCUGCCGCAGAGCACAGCCGCAGUGGCAGCGCACAUUCCUCCACUUUUAUGAAAGCUUUAAAAGGCAUUUUCAUUUAUGUAACCAAACUUGCUGUUUCCAAUAUUGGGAUGUUGUGGUUUUGCAUCUGAAAUGAGGAGAGUUCAGACUUUCUGUGCCUGCAGAGCUGGCUUUGUUUCUUUGAAGGAAUAUAAGAACUGCCCCACCACGCUAUACAAGCCGUCUCUCUAAUCCAGGGCUGUCAAAAAUGCAGCAGCAUGGGUCCAGCCUUCGGAGCCAUGUGGUCUGGCCUGCGGGUCUGGGUCCUGGGUGGUGGGGUGAGCAGUGGCAGCAUUAAUAUCCACAGCUUCGGGAGUUGCCGCUCGUCCCACUGCCAGAUUCCCAGCCUCGUGGGCUGGAUCCAGAGCGCAGCGCUGUGUCGCGUGGCCUGCAGGGCUGCUUGUGGACCAAACGUGAUGUCAGGACAAGCAGCGGCCAACGUGGCUCUAGGAACCAGAGCAAUUAAUGCUGCUUGACCCACCACCACACUUCUGCCCUGUGAGCAGCCCUACAGGCCAGAUGACGCGUCUCCACUCUGGAUCCAACCUACUCCGGCACCCCUGGGGCAAGGUGAACGCGAUACCCCUGCUUUAAUCCAACACUGAAGAUCACUGGACAUUUCUGAGGGAAGGGCAGGACCUGUGCAGUUAUGAGUGGCUUCUUCCUAAGGAAAUGGUUACUUUUUAAUCCCCACUUAGAUAACCUUGGGUUAUACCCUAAAGCAGGCUUGUCCAACAUAUGGCCCGAAGAGGGCCGCUUCUCGUGUGCUGCUGGGGAUGAGAGGAGGAGCCCGGCCGGGUCUGCACCGGCCAGCAGAAGCGGCGGUGGAGCCGUGUGCCGCUCGGGACGGGACAAGCCUGCACCGGUCAGUCCCGAGCGGCACGCGGCUCUGCCGUCGCUUCUGCUGGCUGGCGCAGACCUGGCCGGCCUCCUCCUGUCCCCGGCAGCACAUGGGACGCUGGCUUCAGCUGCAUGCUGCUUUUCCUGGCCGGUGCCGACCCGGUUCUGCCCAGGCGGGUCCUGCAGCACCGUGUCAACCCAGGCAUGCAUGCCUGUCAACGAGCACUUUCUGUCUGAGCACUUUCGUCCCUUCGGUGGGCUCAUUCAAUGCUCUCCCAUUGCAUGACAUGACAGUCAUUGUCAUUAGUUCUCCCCUUUGUACAUUGAAUGAAGUUGCCAAGCUGCUGGGGACAAAGAGGGACAAGACAUAGCAAAGACAAGACGUAACCAAGAAACCCCCAGAGCAAUAUCUCACUGCUUGGUCACAUCCAGGUCCCUGAUGGCUUCAACUAACACGACCACACUCACCGCUCCACACGCUAAAUAGUUACAACAGAUUGUUAUUGCACCAUCGACCAUGUGUUAAUAUUACUAAUUUCACUAAGGUACGAAAAUCCACUAACCAAAGCAGUAAGGCAAGUGGUAAUAAUGUCAUGUCAUGUCAUGUCACAUACUUCCCUGAAUGCCUGUGCUGAAAUGUCUAGAGGUAAAAACAAUGUUACUAUAUAGCCAACCUCUUGAGCACCUCAGCCUUCAGGAAACAACAAUCUAUCUCCUAACUGCUAAAAGAUUUAAAGUGGCCUUCGCUAUACGUAUAACUGACUAAUGACACCUAAUUAAAGACUCCUUGUACAAUUAAAGUAAAGAAACCCUGGAUUUGGCUUCUUCUCAGGUAAUUAGCCCAAGAGUCCUCCUCUUCAGUAACAGGGGUUGUGAAGGCUUCUCAGGUGGAGGGGCAGCUGCCUGCUAAACAGCCUCACAAAAUGGAGGGGACGCUGCCUCUUGGCAUCGCACAAAAUGGAGGGGAAGCUGUCCCCUCAGCAGCCUCACAAAAUGGAGGGGAUGCUGCCUCUCAGCAUCACACAAAAUGGAGGGGACGCUGCCUUUCAGCAUCGCACAAAAUGGAGGGGAAGCUUCCCCCUCAGCAGCCUCACAAAAUGGAGGGGAAGCUGUCCCUUCAGUGCCUCUGGACUCCAGCAGCUGUAUCUCACUACCACAAUACGGCACAACUAAUUAAAGAAAUAAUAAAUAAAUAGACACAGAAACAUC